rnacentral:rRNA from 1 species
CAGUCGCCGCGGUAAUACAGAGGAUGCAAGCGUUAUCCGAAAUGAUUGGGCGUAAAGCGUCUGUAGGUGGCUUUUCAAGUCCGCUGUCAAAUCCCAGGGCUCAACCCUGGACAGGCGGUGGAAACUACCAAGCUAGAGUACGGUAGGGGCAGAGGGAAUUUCCAGUGGAGCGGUGAAAUGCGUUGAGAUCGGAAAGAACACCAACGGCGAAAGCACUCUGCUGGGCCGACACUGACACUGAGAGACGAAAGCUAGGGGAGCAAAUGGGAUUAGAUACCCCGGUAGUCCCUGUCUCUUAUAC